rnacentral:rRNA from 1 species
UGAUCCCCUUCGGGGGUGACGCUUGUGGAAUGAGCGGCGGACGGGUGAGUAACACGUGGGCAACCUGCCUGUAAGACUGGGAUAACCCCGGGAAACCGGGGCUAAUACCGGAUAAUACUUUCUUUUGCAUAAAGGAAAGUUGAAAGGCGGCUUCGGCUGUCACUUACAGAUGGGCCCGCGGCGCAUUAGCUAGUUGGUGAGGUAACGGCUCACCAAGGCGACGAUGCGUAGCCGACCUGAGAGGGUGAUCGGCCACACUGGGACUGAGACACGGCCCAGACUCCUACGGGAGGCAGCAGUAGGGAAUCUUCCGCAAUGGACGAAAGUCUGACGGAGCAACGCCGCGUGAGUGAUGAAGGUUUUCGGAUCGUAAAACUCUGUUGUUAGGGAAGAACAAGUACGAUAGUAACUGAUCGUACCUUGACGGUACCUAACCAGAAAGCCACGGCUAACUACGUGCCAGCAGCCGCGGUAAUACGUAGGUGGCAAGCGUUGUCCGGAAUUAUUGGGCGUAAAGCGCUCGCAGGCGGUCCUUUAAGUCUGAUGUGAAAUCUCGCGGCUCAACCGCGAACGGUCAUUGGAAACUGGAGGACUUGAGUACAGAAGAGGAGAGUGGAAUUCCACGUGUAGCGGUGAAAUGCGUAGAGAUGUGGAGGAACACCAGUGGCGAAGGCGACUCUCUGGUCUGUAACUGACGCUGAGGAGCGAAAGCGUGGGGAGCGAACAGGAUUAGAUACCCUGGUAGUCCACGCCGUAAACGAUGAGUGCUAGGUGUUAGGGGGUUUCCGCCCCUUA